rnacentral:tRNA from 1 species
AGAAACUUAGGUUACAUACCAAACCAAGAGCCUUCAAAGCUCUAAACAGAGAACUCACCUCUAGUUUCUG